ACGACGAGUUCAAGCCUCCGUGGGUGCAGUUGGUCGCCAGGUAGGGCUGGGGGCCGAGGGACCGGCUCGGGGGCGGGGGGGAAGUGUGCCUGACCGGUCUCUGUCCUCAGCGAGGGAUGCGGAGACGCCCCUGAACGACCAUGGCAUCGGCCGACGAGCUGACCUUCCAUGAAUUCGAGGAGGCCACUAAUCUUCUGGCUGAGACCCCAGAUGCAGCCACCACCAGCAGAAGCGAUCAGCUGACCCCACAAGGGCACGUGGCUGUGGCCGUGGGCUCAGGUGGCAGCUAUGGAGCCGAGGAUGAGGUGGAGGAGGAGAGUGACAAGGCCGCGCUCCUGCAGGAGAAGCAGCAGCGGCAGCAGCCCGGAUUCUGGACCUUCAGCUACUAUCAGAGCUUCUUUGACGUGGACACCUCACAGGUCCUGGACCGGAUCAAAGGCUCACUGCUGCCCCGGCCUGGCCACAACUUUGUGCGGCACCAUCUGCGGAAUCGGCCGGAUCUGUAUGGCCCCUUCUGGAUCUGUGCCACGUUGGCCUUCGUCCUGGCCGUCACUGGCAACCUGACGCUGGUGCUGGCCCAGAGGAGGGACCCCUCCAUCCACUACAGCCCCCAGUUCCACAAGGGUAAGCAGACGGGCAGGCCCAAUGCCUGGCAGGGCCCUGGGGUACAGGGGGUGACUGCUCACCUUGCCCCCAGUGACCGUGGCAGGCAUCAGCAUCUACUGCUAUGCGUGGCUGGUGCCCCUGGCCCUGUGGGGCUUCCUGCGGUGGCGCAAGGGUGUCCAGGAGCGCAUGGGGCCCUACACCUUCCUGGAGACUGUGUGCAUCUACGGCUACUCCCUCUUUGUCUUCAUC
rnacentral:sRNA from 1 species